CGCUACGCCCAUUCCCCCUUACUAGACCGCCCUCACAGUAACGCCCCUUUGGCUGUUGAAGUUUCUGAAGUCAGUGACAUGCUACCGAAUGACAACACAAGCGCCGCGCGGGACUUUUUAAAACGACUCACUGGAUGGAUUUCGCUGCAGCGAUCACUCAACUGUCGAUAUAAGAAGUUGGGGUUGAUGAUCCACAUGAUGGUGAUGGACCAGGACAGCUCUGGACCUCCUGACUGGCAGCUCCAUCCUCAACCUCUCUUCCUGCCCUUCACACAUGUGCAGGCAGACAGUUUUCUGAAAGAUGGUUGAUGUCAGUACCAACAUGUUGUGAUGGAGGCUUCCACCUGAGCUGAACACAGAAACUUGCACACAGUGAUGGAAGCAGUCGUUCCUGUUCAGCAUCGAUAUGCCAGUAAUGGGUUUGAUGAGCCACAGCAUGGUGAUGGGCAAUCAGCAUCAGGACCAGGGCAGCUCACAAGGAGAACCUCCUGCCCUGCCUCGUCAUCCUCAACCUCCCAUCUCCCUGCUCUUCACACAUGUGCAGGCACGGAGCCAGUUUUCAGAGGGAGGGCUGAUGACACCAGCAACUUUGGUUCUGAACCUGAUCAACCCAGCACCAACCACUGUGCCGCUCCUCCUCUGCCAACUGCACCACAUGGCUCCACCAUCUCAAAAAGGCACAGACACUACUCCACUUCCUGCGAAGGAUGAGAGAAGAGCCGACCGCCCCACAUCGGCACUCACCACCUUCUACAGGGGUGUCAUUGAGAGCAUCCUGACCAGCAGCCUCUCUGUCUGGCAUGGCAGCCGUCAAGCUGAAGACUAGAAGGCAGUACAGAGAGUGGUGAGGACAGCAGAAAAGCUCAUAAGAUCACCCCUACCUGUUCUCCCUACUACCAUCAGGGAAGCGCUAGCCCGGCAUGCGGUGCCGCACAAGCACACUGGGAAACGGCUUCUUUCCACAAGCCAUCAGUCUCCUCAACGUUCUGAAGAAAACCACAUGAAUAUUCCAAGGACACUGGAGAAUAUUCCAUGAACACUUCUUUCACCAUGCCACUUACACUUUACUCAUUGCACCUUAUAUUCAGCAUCUUCACAUCACCUGUAUGAUCUCCUCCUGCCAUGUGUGUGUGUGUGUGUGUGUGUCCACUGUGUUUGUGUAUUUAUUGUCCAUCAGUAUGUUACUCUUCUUAUUGCACACUGUUUGUGUCUCUGUGUGACUGUAUUUAUUGAAUGUAUCAGUCUGUAUUUCAUGUCAAUGCAUUAUUUUUAGUUAUUAGUUAAACUGCACAUUGGAGACUGGUCAAACACAAUUUCAAACUUUGUGUUAACCCUCCAUAGAUUUUUGUCAAAAAAUUGAGUCUAAUCUACUGUACUAUUCAGGCUAUCAACAGACCACACAGUUGAGUGCUGUUUUAUGCACUCUGAAUAUGAGGAGAAGGAGGUGACCGUUCACACUUCAUAGUGUAAAAGUAAACAGAAAUACAUUUUCACAUUUCAUUCCUGUCUCGUUCACUUCUUUCAGCAAUGUAUGUGGCCUACAUGCAGGGAAGCUGACAGGGGGGACAAAGGGGUCCGUUGACCUGGGCCCAGUGAGACGAGGGGUCCAGGAAUGGGUCCUCAUUACAUUGUAUGUAGUCUAUGUAUUGAGUGGGGGGCCCUUUCAGAUGACUUUGUCCUGGGCACAGCCAAAGCUGUCAGCGGUCCUGA